UACGUAGGGUGCAAACGUUGCUCGGAAUUAUUGGGCGUAAAGCGCACGUAGGCGGUUUGUUAAGUCGGAUGUGAAAUCCCUCGGCUCAACUGAGGAAGUGCAUCCGAAACUGGCAAGCUUGAGUACGAAAGAGGGUCGCGGAAUUCCCGGUGUAGAGGUGAAAUUCGUAGAUAUCGGGAGGAACAUCUGUGGCGAAGGCGACACCCUGGACCAGCACUGACACUGAGGCACGAAAGCGUGGGGAGCAAACAGG
rnacentral:rRNA from 1 species